AACGAACGCUGGCGGCAGGCUUAACACAUGCAAGUCGAGCGCCCCGCAAGGGGAGCGGCAGACGGGUGAGUAACGCGUGGGAAUCUACCCCUCUCUACGGAAUAACGCAUUGAAACGUGUGUUAAUACCGUAUACGUUCUUCGGGAGAAAGACUUAUCGGAGAUGGAUGAGCCCGCCUUGGAUUAGCUAGUUGGUGGGGUAAAGGCCUACCAAGGCGACGAUCCAUAGCUGGUCUGAGAGAAUGAUCAGCCACACUGGGACUGAGACACGGCCCAGACUCCUACGGGAAGCAGCAGUGGGGAAUAUUGUACAAUGUGCGCAAGCCUGAUCCAGCCAUGCCGCGUGGGUGAUGAAGGGCCGGGGGUUGUAAAGCUCUUUCACCGGUGAAGAUAAUGACGGUAACCGGAGAAGAAUCCCCGGCUAACUUCGUGCCAGCCGCCGCGGUAACAC
rnacentral:rRNA from 1 species